rnacentral:rRNA from 1 species
AGUGAACGCUGGCGGUAGGCCUAACACAUGCAAGUCGAACGGCAGCACAGUAAGAGCUUGCUCUUACGGGUGGCGAGUGGCGGACGGGUGAGGAAUACAUCGGAAUCUACUUUUUCGUGGGGGAUAACGUAGGGAAACUUACGCUAAUACCGCAUACGACCUACGGGUGAAAGCAGGGGAUCUUCGGACCUUGCGCGAUUGUAUGAGCCGAUGUCGGAUUAGCUAGUUGGCGGGGUAAAGGCCCACCAAGGCGACGAUCCGUAGCUGGUCUGAGAGGGUGAUCAGCCACACUGGAACUGAGACACGGUCCAGACUCCUACGGGAGGCAGCAGUGGGGAAUAUUGGGCAAUGGGCGCAAGCCUGAUCCAGCCAUACCGCGUGGGUGAAGAAGGCCUUCGGGUUGUAAAGCCCUUUUAUUGGGAAAGAAAAGCAGCAGGUUAAUACCCCGCUGUUCUGACGGUACCCAAAGAAUAAGCACCGGCUAACUUCGUG